rnacentral:tRNA from 1 species
UGUUUUAAAGGAAUAGACCUAUUUCUGGUUUACAAGACCAGUAUUUUUAUUUAAAUUAUUAAAAC